CCUACGGGAGGCAGCAGUGGGGAAUUUUGGACAAUGGGCGCAAGCCUGAUCCAGCAAUGCCGCGUGAGUGAAGAAGGCCUUCGGGUUGUAAAGCUCUUUUGUCAGGGAAGAAACGGUGGGGGCUAAUAUCUCCUACUAAUGACGGUACCUGAAGAAUAAGCACCGGCUAACUACGUGCCAGCAGCCGCGGUAAUACGUAGGGUGCAAGCGUUAAUCGGAAUUACUGGGCGUAAAGCGUGCGCAGGCGGUUUUGUAAGUCUGUCGUGAAAGCCCCGGGCUCAACCUGGGAAUUGCGAUGGAGACUGCAAGGCUUGAAUCUGGCAGAGGGGGGUAGAAUUCCACGUGUAGCAGUGAAAUGCGUAGAGAUGUGGAGGAACACCGAUGGCGAAGGCAGCCCCCUGGGUCAAGAUUGACGCUCAUGCACGAAAGCGUGGGGAGCAAACAGGAUUAGAUACCCUGGUAGUCCACGCCCUAAACGAUGUCUACUAGUUGUCGGGUUUUAAUUAACUUGGUAACGCAGCUAACGCGUGAAGUAGACCGCCUGGGGAGUACGGUCGCAAGAUUAAAACUUCAAAGGAAUUGACGGCUUGNGAGNGCGAGCGACGACGAGGAGAGG
rnacentral:rRNA from 1 species